ensembl:lncRNA
ACAAAGAACUGUGCCAGCUAAGGAAGCACACACCCAGGCCACAGCAUUCUUUUAUCUUUCCCUAACAUCCUCACAAGGAGAAGGCAGUGGCACCCCACUCCAGUACUCUUGCCUGGAAAAUCCCAUGGGCAGAGGAGCCUGGUAGGCUGCAGUCCCUGGGGGCGCUAGGAGUCGGACACAACUGAGCGACUUCACUUUCACUUUUCACUUUCAUACACUGGAGAAGGAAAUGGCAACCCACUCCAGUGUUCUUGCCUGGAGAAUCCCAGGGAUAGGGGAGCCUGAUGGGCUGCCAUCUAUGGGGUCACAGAGAGUCAGACACGACUGAAGCAACUUAGCAGAGCAGCAGCAACAUCCUCACAACCCAACCGGUAACUCCACUUGGUUUGCUGGUAGAAUGAGGCUCAGCUGACUCAGAUGGUGACACUCGGCCCACGUGAGCCGCCCCAGAAGGGUCUGGAUUAGGAGAUCCCACGGAGAGACCCCUGGAGAGCGCUGCUGCGGUGGGGCGGACAAGUUUUUCUAGAUUCGUCUUCCCGCGAGGGCUCGCCCAGUUUGCGCUCGAACUUUUCCAGUGAGAGAAAACGCUCUGCCUCCCGCUGGGCCUGUGCGCUGGCCCCGCCAUCUGUGGGUGCACUAACACCCAAGGGAGCCUCCUCCUGGGGCGACACUCCUCAGCCUCAGCGCUCUCCUCUGGGGUUCUUCAUCAGGCACACACUUGGCGCUCAGGCCCAGCACCGCUCUGCCAGGAUGAAGCUGCAAAGCCCCCACCAACCGGGCAGGCAAGCCAGGUGGAUUCCUUACCGCUGAGCAAGCAGGGAAGUCCAAUGAACUCAGAACCCACGUACAAAAAGACUAUGACCAAAGAAACGCGCGAUCUGCUUUACACGCCUGAGAGGCCUCUUGCCGAGCGGCAGCCCUGCCCUGCUUGAAGGACACUCACUACCCCCACCUGGAAGGUACCAAGAAGUUAGAGAUUUUUAAACUGCUGAAGUCUUGCCUAUUCCAAAGAUGCUAACACCUCUCUGGCUCACCAGCCCAGACUUUGGAGAGAUACCUGGCACCUUGCACAAUUAAGUGGCUGCACAACUUCCUUCUGAGAAAUUAGACUCUUUUCCUUUCUAACUAAAGACCAAACCACAGAGCCCACUUGAAGCACAACUGCACUGAAAUGUCAGAUUACAAAAGCCACCCAUCACCACAAUGGCCCCCAUACAGCAUGGACCCCCUCCUGCUGUGGGCUGCUCACAACACAGUGCUCCAGCCGCUCCCACACUGCCCACCCCUGGGACCUGCACAGUGUCCAUGGUGGGGGCUGUGCAUUCCGAUCCAGCCCUGGGACCCCAGCCCCUGGGUCUGAGCUCGGCACACACAGAGUGCUUGGGAGACGCUUGACAAGCAAGCACACUUCCAGCAGAGCGGCAGUGGUUGCAGUGUGGAC